AAAUUUGCGCUAAUACCGCAUAAUGCAGCGGCACCGCAUGGUGAUGUUGUUAAAGUAUAAUUUACGUCUAUGGAUGAGCUUGCGUCUGAUUAGCUAGUUGGUAGGGUAAUGGCCUACCAAGGCAACGAUCAGUAGCUGGUCUGAGAGGAUGAUCAGUCACACUGGAACUGAGACACGGUCCAGACUCCUACGGGAGGCAGCAGUGAGGAAUAUUGGGCAAUGCCCGCAAGGGUGACCCAGCAACGCCGCGUGGAGGAUGAAGGUCGUAAGAUUGUAAACUCCUGUUAGAGGGGAAGAAUAUCCGGGAUUGAAUCCCGGUUUGACUGUACCCUCAGAGAAAGCCCCGGCUAACUACGUGCCAGCAGCCGCGGUAAUACGUAGGGGGCAAGCGUUGUCCGGAUUUACUGGGUGUAAAGGGCGCGUAGGCGGGCUCGUAAGUCAGAGGUGAAAUCCUGAAGCUUAACUUCAGAACUGCCUUUGAUACUGCGAGUCUUGAGUUC
rnacentral:rRNA from 1 species